AAUCAACGCUGGCGGCGUGCCUAACACAUGCAAGUCGAACGAUUAAAGCCCUUUCGGGGGUGUAUAGAGUGGCGUACGGGUGAGUAACACGUGGGUAAUCUACCUUUGGGUGGGGAAUAACUCAGGGAAACUUGAGCUAAUACCGCAUAAUGCAGCGGCUCGACAUCGAGACAGUUGUUAAAGCAGCAAUGCGCCUAAAGAGGAGCCUGCGCCUGAUUAGCUAGUUGGUGGGGUAAUGGCCUACCAAGGCUUCGAUCCGUAGCUGGUCUGAGAGGACGACCAGCCACACUGGAACUGAGACACGGUCCAGACUCCUACGGGAGGCAGCAGUGGGGAAUUUUGGACAAUGGG
rnacentral:rRNA from 1 species